UACGUAGGGGGCUAGCGUUGUCCGGAUUUAUUGGGCGUAAAGAGCGUGUAGGCGGCCAGGUAGGUCUGCUGUGAAAACUCGAGGCUCAACCCUCGAGACGUCGGCGGAAACCAUCUGGCUAGAGUCCGGAAGAGGAGAGUGGAAUUCCUGGUGUAGCGGUGAAAUGCGCAGAUAUCAGGAAGAACACCCCGUGGCGAAGGCGGCUCUCUGGGACGGUACUGACGCUGAGACGCGAAAGCGUGGGGAGCGAACAGG
rnacentral:rRNA from 1 species